CAAUAGCGUAUAUUAAAGUUGUUGCGGUUAAAAAGCUCGUAGUUGGAUUUCUGCCGAGGACGACCGGUCCGCCCUCCGGGUGAGUAUCUGGUUUGGCCUGGGCAUCUUCUUGGAGAACGUAGCUGCACUUGACUGUGUGGUGCGGUGUCCAGGACUUUUACUUUGAGGAAAUUAGAGUGUUUCAAGCAGGCACACGCCUUGAAUACAUUAGCAUGGAAUAAUAAGAUAGGACCUCGGUUCUAUUUUGUUGGUUUCUAGAGCUGAGGUAAUGAUUAAUAGGGAUAGUUGGGGGCAUUCGUAUUUAACUGUCGGAGGUGAAAUUCUUGGAUUUGUUAAAGACGGACUACUGCGAAAGCAUUUGCCAAGGAUGUUUUCAUUGA
rnacentral:rRNA from 1 species